AACGAACGCUGGCGGCGCGUCUUAAGCAUGCAAGUCGAACGGCAAGAGAGGAGCUUGCUUCUCUCCUAGAGUGGCGGACUGGUGAGGAACACGUGGGUAAUCUACCCUUAAGAUGGGGAUAGCUGCUAGAAAUAGCAGAUAAUACCGAAUACACUCAGUGCUUCACAAGAGGUAUUGAGGAAAAGAAGCUACGGCUUCGCUUGAGGAUGAGCUUGCGUCCCAUUAGCUUGUUGGUGAGGUAAAGGCCCACCAAGGCGACGAUGGGUAUCCGGCCUGAGAGGGUGACGACACAUUGGGACUGAGAUACGGCCCAAACUCCUACGGAGGCAGCAGCUAAGAAUAUUCCGCAAUGGACGGAAGUCUGACGGAGCGACGCCGCGUGGAUGAAGAAGGCUGAAAAGUUGUAAAAUCCUUUUGUUGAUGAAGAAUAAGGGGGAGAGGGAAUGCUUCUCUGAUGACGGUAAUCAGCGAAUAAGCCCCG
rnacentral:rRNA from 2 species